AUGCAUGUCUAAGUACAGCUCGGUGGAGCAAUCUACCGGGCGAAACCGCGGACGGCUCAUUAAAUCAGUCGUGGUCUAAAUGGGCUAAAGUUUCCUUUUGGAUAACUGUGGAAAAUCCAGAGCUAAUACAUGCAAUUUUCGAGUCCUGAGCCAAAGCCGGUUAGUUGUCUCGAUGAUUAUCUGGCGAGUAACUCGGGAUGCUUUUAUUAGACCGAGGCGCGCGCAUACUCGGUUUAGCCUUUUGAGAUCUUUGAUUUUGAUUGGCGGCCGUUUGUGUGUCGUUCUGUAAGCGCUACAUGGUGAACCCUGGAUAACACUUGAUGAGCGUGCCUUUACGGCACGCCGCCUUCUUACGAGUGACUGCCCUAUCAGCUAGUAACGUAUGUUAUACGCGAACGCUGGCUAUAACGGGUAACGGGGAAUCAGAGUUCGAUUCCGGAGAGGCAGCCUGAGAAACGGCUACCACG
rnacentral:rRNA from 5 species